GAUGAACGCUGGCGGCGUGCCUAAUACAUGCAAGUCGAACGAAGGGGCUAAGAUCUUGCUGCGCGGAUGUGAGGGGAAGGGGGGAGUAAAACGCGUGGAAACCCUCCCUAUAUGAGGGAGAUAACUUGGGAAAGGGGGCGCUAAUACCAGAUGAUCUUGUGAACCGAUGGGGUCAAGAGGGAAGGGCGGUCUUGGUGGCGGUUGUGGAUGGAGCCUAGCUGCUUGAGCUAGUUGGUAAGGUAACGGCUUACCAAGGCAACGAUGCAUAGCCGACCUGAGAGGGUGAUCGGCCACACUGGAACUGAGACACGGUCCAGACGCCUACGGGAGGCAGCAGUAGGGAAGCUUCCGCAAUGGGCGAAAGCCUGACGGAGCAAUGCCGCGUGAGUGAUGAAGGUCUUCGGAUCGUAAAACUCUGUUACUAGGGAAGAACAUAUGUGUAAGUAACUGUGCACAUCUUGACGGUACCUAAUCAGAAAGCCACGGCUAACUACGUG
rnacentral:rRNA from 1 species